GAUGAAGAACGCAGCGAAAUGCGAUACGUAAUGUGAAUUGCAGAUCUCUCAGUGAACCAUCGAAUUUUUGAACGCACAUAGCGCCCGCCGGUCAUUCCGGCGGGCAUGCCUGUCCGAGCGUCAUUUCAACCCUCAAGCACUGCUUGGUGUUGGCGGAUUGCGUGCCCUAGCGGCGCUGCAACCGCCCAAAUACAGUGGCGGUCCCGCUGCGGCUCCCUUUGCGUAGUAACUCACCUCGCACUGGACCGGGCGGCGGCUCGCCGUAAAACCCCAACUCACGAAAUGUUGACCUCGGAUCAGGUAGGAAUACCCGCUGAACUUAAGCAUAUCAAUAAGCGGAGGA
rnacentral:misc_RNA from 1 species